UCUUCGGUGGUAUAGUGGUUAGUAUUUGUGCCUGUCAUGAGCCUUAACUCUAGAUUGCGUGAGAUCGGGAUUCAAUUCCACGCUUGAGGA